UAUAUCACAUGAGUUUCAAUUUCAUGAUUCAAUUUCAUGAAGACAUAAUACCAAAAUAAACUUCAAAAUACAAAAUGUUUCUCAAACUUAAAUAUGUCACAUGAGUUUCAAUUUCAUGAAGACAUAACACCAAAAUAAACUUCAAAGUACAAAAUGUUUCUCAAACUUACAUAUAUCACAUGAGUUUCAAUUUCAUGAUACAAUUUCAUGAAGACAUAAUACCAAAAUAAACUUCAAAAUACAAAAUGUUUUUCAAACUUAAAUAUGUCACAUGAGUUUCAAUUUCAUGAUACAAUUUCAUGAAGACAUAACACCAAAAUAAACUUCAAAGUAUAAAAUGUUUCUCAAACUUAAAUAAAUCAUGAGUUUCAAUUUUAUGAUCCUCUUAAUACCUUCCUAAGUUUUCUACCAAUAAAUUUGAAAGACUAGCAGGAAAAACAAUGUCAGUUUCUUAUAAAUGACAAAAGAUUAGAGUAUUACGGACGAUCGUUUGCAAUUAAUUAAAUGUUGCGUUCAUGUUCUUUAUAAUGCUAUGAUUAGCAAUCAUGCGGCCUUAAGGACCGCCGGCUCGUGAUGAUCCUUAAUUUGCUUAGCCUCCAGACUAAGGCAGCCUCCAAAUGGGGCAAGAUUUAGCUUUCAGAUAGGCCGAUGUUAUCGCGUUAACAAUGUACGCGUCACUUCAGACAAAGUGUCUGCUUGUCACCACCGAUAACAAGGUAAACUUUGUCAUUAUUGAUUUUGCAUCAACCCUGAAUGUACAACGAAAUUUCACGACCUCUUGGACAUCUCUCCUCGGUAUUGUUCUCGGGAAUGAUCGAAGCGUGACCACCAAGAUACCGCAAUCAUACGGUCAGAAACAUUCUAUUUCUGAAACUGCUUCUAGCUGAUUUAGCUCAUGGAAUAAUCACGAACCCCGUUAUCGUCCUGAAAGAAGCAGACUGAAAACAAGAAGAAAUAUAGACGUUUCUAUAUACCAUAAACAAGAUAAUGGUACGUUCCAAGUUCAGCAAUGCAAAAAAUUCGGAGGCAAUCAUGAUAGAGAUAAACGUGAAUUUUUAUAAUUGUGCGUAGGUAAAGAUAGGGACUUGAAACUUUCCAAUUUUGGAGUCCUUGCAAUUUUACAAUUUUAUAAUCGCUUUAUGUCUUUAAGGUUUUGGGACUUUAAAUUAGAAGAGUAGAAUCUUGAACCUAGAACGGUAUUAAAAGCGAGUGGAUCGCAUUUUUUUAAACGCAUAAAAGCAGCCCUGAUCUAAUAGACGAGUUUCGUGACGAUGAAAUUCCUUGAACGACCCCGAAGGUUCUUCCACGGAAGACAAUGUCCCAGGUCGGAGGGACAACUGGAACGCCGUGAGAGGGUGGGAGUGCGGAGAAGUAGCUCCUAUAUUAAAUCAUGGCGAGGCCACUUCCCAAACUCAGUCCUACGUUGAACGUUGGAGCACGCAAGAAACUCCUGCCCCCUUACUCUUCAUCGAUUUUUUGAUUCCAUCAAGCAACAAGUCGUCCUUCAUCAUAAUUCUUUGAAAGAUUUCUGGUGAACAGUGUCCGUCGUGUUCAAAUUUUUCAUUCAAAAUAGAGAAUUGUUGAAGUCUCUCGUUGAA